rnacentral:rRNA from 1 species
GACGGAGGGUGCAAGCGUUAUCGGGAAUUACUGGGUUUAUAGGGUGCGUAGGCGGCUUUGUAAGGCAGGGGUGAAAGCCCGCAGCUUAACUGCGGAACUGCCUUUGAUACUGCAGAGCUUGAAAGAGAUUGAGGUCAGCGGAACGUGACAUGUAGCGGUGAAAUCCAUAGAUAUGUCACAGAUCACCAAUUGCGAAGGCAGCUGUCUCUACCUACUUUGACGUUGAGGCACGAAGGCGUGGCGAGCGAACAUG